AAGUCGUAACAAGGUUUCCGUAGGUGAACCUGCGGAAGGAUCAUUAACACGUAUCCACGUUUAACCACCCGUGCACCUUCAUUUUCUCCCGUCGUGUCAUGAAGCUUGCGAUGUUCUACUUUUGCCUUGCGGUUUGUCGAGCUGGUGUUGUGGACAACAAUCUAUCUUGGGAGGCCCUUGUGGGGUGGUUAGCGAAGCAACCUCUGUCCAUAAGAAUGUGUCUUCGGGGUAGCUUGUUGUUCUCAUUUGCCAGCUUGUCGAAUCUCGAUGUCAAAUUCCUGACUCGCAAGUUUUGUGUCCGCGUCCCAGUUGUUCUUGCAAUUCAACCGUGCGCAGGCCAAAAGGCCAGCGUCGGAAACCCGCACAACUGUUAACAAUGGAUAUCUUGGCUCUC
rnacentral:misc_RNA from 1 species